GUGCUUUUUUAUUCUACUUAAUUCAUUUAACUAAAAUUAAUCAUAACCGAAGUUGAGUUUUUUGUUUUAAAAUGAACUCUCCACUUUUGAGAAAUAUUUAUUUUGUUAUUCAAUUUAACCACUACACCUAAAUGUUUUUGCCUCUUGGUUUAUUUUAAGUAACCGUGACCGUUCAUUUCAUUUUACUUUGUUUCUUUCGAUUCGUUCCACUUUUCUUCCGUUUCGCACUUUACAUUUAUCCUUUUUUUCACCCCUUUCAGACUUUAUUAUUCAUUUUAUUUUGUUUUUUUUCGAUUCGUUCCACUUUUCACCUGUUUCGCACUUUACAUUUAUCCCUUUGUUCACCCCUUUCAGACUUUAUUAUUGUGUAAAAAUCUUUAGAUUUAAAAAAAGUUCAAAAAUUUGUAAUUUGAUAUUUAAAAAGUUUGAUCAAAAU
rnacentral:lncRNA from 1 species